rnacentral:rRNA from 1 species
GCUAAAAACCUAGCUUGAACACCUUCUAAUGUUUACCCAUUAAUUUUAAUUACUAAAUAAAACAUUUUAAACAUCAAGUAAAGGCGAUUAAAAAAUGUCUUUAAGCUAUAGAAUUAGUACCGCAAGGGAACAGUGAAAUAACAAUGAAAUACUUUAAGCAAAAUAAAGCAGAGCCACAACCUCGUACCUUUUGCAUCAUGGUCUAACUAGUCCAACCAAGCAAAAAGAAUUUUAAGUUUGACCCCCCGAAACUAGGUGAGCUACUCAAAAACAGCCUUUUGGGCCAACCCGUCUCUGUUGCAAAAGAGUGGGAAGAUUUUUGAGUAGAGGUGAUAGACCUACCGAACCUAGAGAUAGCUGGUUAUUCAGGAAGAGGAUUUAAGUCCUACCUUAGGUUUUUCUUAUCCCAAAAUACUCCCUCAACCUUAAGAGCUAUUCAAAUAAGGUACAGCCUAUUUGAAACAGGAUACAACCUCGCCCGUCGGGUAAUAAUUUUCUAUUGUAGUUAAGUGGGCCUAAAAGCAGCCACCUUUAAAAAAGCGUUAAAGCUUAACUAUCUUUUAUAAAAAUUCCUACAAUCACAUAAAACCCUCAAUUUGUACUGAAUGAUUUCAUACCUGUAUGAAAGCCUAUAUGUUAGAACUAGUAACAAGAAGAAGCCCUUCUCCAAAAUGUAUGUAUAAGCCACAAUGAACAAUUCACUGGCAUUUAAAGUUAAUAAAUCCACAGUAGUAACACACCAAGAAAAAUCUACUAACAACAACGUUAACCUUACACCAGCACAUUAAUGGAAAGAUUAAAAGAGUGGGAAGGAACUCGGCAAAUAAUUAACCUCGCCUGUUUACCAAAAACAUCGCCUCCUGCUUCUUAUAGGAGGUCUAGCCUGCCCAGUGACAAAGUUAAACGGCCGCGGUACCCUAACCGUGCAAAGGUAGCGCAAUCACUUGUUCUUUAAAUGAGGACUAGUAUGAACGGCAUCACGAAGGUUAUACUGUCUCCCCACUUUAUUCAGUGAAACUGAUCUUCCCGUGAAGAAGCGGGAAUUUUUUUAUAAGACGAGAAGACCCCAUGGAGCUUUAAACUCAGCAUCAACUGCCUCUCUGUAAAACCUAGUACAAAAGCAGCCAUGACACCUAGUUUUCGGUUGGGGUGACCACGGAGUAAAGCCUAACCUCCACGACGAAAGGAACUACCCACCUAAGCCAAGAGCUACAGCUCUAAGCAUUAAAAAAUUAACCAAAUUGACCCAAUUUUUUGAUCAACGAACCAAGUUACCCUGGGGAUAACAGCGCAAUCCAUUUCAAGAGCCCCUAUCGACAAAUGGGUUUACGACCUCGAUGUUGGAUCAGGGUAUCCCAGUGGCGCAGCCGCUACUAACGGUUCGUUUGUUCAACGAUUAAAACCCU